rnacentral:rRNA from 1 species
AUUGAACGCUGGCGGCAUGCUUUACACAUGCAAGUCGAACGGUAACAGGCCUUGGGGUGUUGACGAGUGGCGAACGGGUGGGUAUUGCACCGGAACGUACCCAGUGGUGGGGGUUAACGCAGCGAAAGUUGUGCUAAUACACCUUGUGACCGGAGGAUUAAACCGGGGGACCGCGGAGCAUAGUUUGGCCUCUAGCCUUGGGGUCGGCCGAUGGCGGAUUACCUAGUUGGUGGGGUAAAGGCCUACCAAGGCGACGAUCCGUAGCUGGUCUGAGAGGACGACCAGCCACACUGCGACUGCAACACGGCCCAGACUCCUACGGUAGGCAGCGGUGGGGAUACUUGGACAAUGGGCGCAAGCCUGAUCCAGCCAUGCCGCGUGCGGGAAGAAGGCCUUCGGGUUGUAAACCGCUUUUGGCAGGAACGAAACGGUGUCCGCUAAUACCGAGCGCUAAUGACGGUACCUGCAGAAUAAGCACCGGCUAACUACGUG